rnacentral:rRNA from 1 species
GACGAACGCUGGCGGCGUGCUUAACACAUGCAAGUCGAACGAAGCUUGAUUACGGAUUCUUCGGAUGAAGUAUGAUAUGACUGAGUGGCGGACGGGUGAGUAACGCGUGAGUAACCUGCCCUUCAGAGGGGGAUAGCGUUUGGAAACGAACGGUAAUACCGCAUAAUGUAUUUUGACCGCAUGAUCGAAAUACCAAAGAUUUAUCGCUGAAGGAUGGACUCGCGUCUGAUUAAGUAGUUGGUGGGGUAACGGCCUACCAAGCCGACGAUCAGUAGCCGGACUGAGAGGUUGAUCGGCCACAUUGGGACUGAGACACGGCCCAGACUCCUACGGGAGGCAGCAGUGGGGAAUAUUGCACAAUGGGCGCAAGCCUGAUGCAGCAACGCCGCGUGAAGGAAGACGGUUUUCGGAUUGGAAACUUCUGUUCUUAGUGAAGAAUAAUGACGGUAGCUAAGGAGCAAGCCACGGCUAACUACGUG